rnacentral:rRNA from 1 species
UACGGAGGGUGCGAGCGUUAAUCGGAAUUACUGGGCGUAAAGCGCACGCAGGCGGUUUGUUAAGCUAGAUGUGAAAGCCCCGGGCUCAACCUGGGAUGGUCAUUUAGAACUGGCAGACUAGAGUCUUGGAGAGGGGAGUGGAAUUCCGGGUGUAGCGGUGAAAUGCGUAGAUAUCUGGAGGAACAUCAGUGGCGAAGGCGACUCCCUGGCCAAAGACUGACGCUCAUGUGCGAAAGUGUGGGUAGCGAACAGG